ensembl:snRNA U6 U6 spliceosomal RNA
GUGCUCACUUCAGCAGCACAUAUACUAAAAUUGGAACGAAACAGAGAAGAUUAACAUAGCCCCU